rnacentral:tRNA from 1 species
GGGUUGUUGGCUCAAUGGUAGAGCACUUGCCUAGCACGCAUGAGGCACUGGGUUCAAUCCCCAACACCACA